rnacentral:misc_RNA from 1 species
AAAUGCGAUAAGUAAUGUGAAUUGCAGAAUUCAGUGAAUCAUCGGAUCUUUGAACGCACAUUGCGCCCGCCAGCACUCUGGCGGGCAUGCCUGUUCGAGCGUCAUUUCAACCCUCAGAACCCCUUGCGGGAUCUGGCGUUGGGGAUUGGCAUCCAGCCAGCCCCGAAAUCUAGUGGCGGUCCCUCCGCGACCUCCCCUGUGCAGUAGCGAUACCUCGCAGCGGGACAGCGGUCUGACCACGCCGUAAAACCCCCAACUUCUCAAGGUUGACCUCGAAUCAGGUAGGAAUACCCGCUGAACUUAAGC